rnacentral:rRNA from 1 species
UACGUAGGGUGCAAGCGUUAAUCGGAAUUACUGGGCGUAAAGCGUGCGCAGGCGGUUUUGGAAGUCUGUCGUGAAAUCCCCGGGCUUAACCUGGGAAUGGCGAUGGAGACUGCAAGGCUAGGGUUUGGCAGAGGGGGGUAGAAUUCCACGUGUAGCAGUGAAAUGCGUAGAGAUGUGGAGGAACACCGAUGGCGAAGGCAGCCCCCUGGGUCAAAACUGACGCUCAUGCACGAAAGCGUGGGGAGCAAACAGG